UACGAAGGGGGCUAGCGUUGCUCGGAAUUACUGGGCGUAAAGGGCGCGUAGGCGGACAGUUUAGUCAGAGGUGAAAGCCCAGGGCUCAACCCUGGAAUUGCCUUUGAUACUGACUGUCUUGAGUACGGGGGAGGUGUGUGGAACUCCGAGUGUAGAGGUGAAAUUCGUAGAUAUUCGGAAGAACACCAGUGGCGAAGGCGACACACUGGCCCGAUACUGACGCUGAGGCACGAAAGCGUGGGGAGCAAACAGG
rnacentral:rRNA from 1 species